GGAAGAUCCCAUAUAAACAUACGUUUGUAAAUAGAUACAUAUGUACAUAACUAGAUACAUAAUAUACACACCCACGCACACAUACACAAAGUAUAUAGUAGUCUUUCCUUGGGUAUUGCUUGAGAUUUUCUUAUAUUGUAUGGACAGUAACGAGCAACCUUUGUUCUGCAAUGAGCCAAAAUUAAAUAUCUGAUAUUGUUAUUGAUACAUUAUGAACUAAAAAUGUUUAAAUUGAUUAAAAAGAAAUUAAUACUUGAUAGAAAAAGAAAAAAUUACACAUUAUUGAAGGGUAUUUGUUAUUUUCGGCAUCAAUUUACAAUGAAAUGUUUUCUAUAAUCCUAUUGAUUUUUUAUUAGCAAUACUUUUAAUGUGUACGGAUAAAUGUAUGUAUAUAUAUCUUUGUAAUGGAACGAAAUCUAUUAGUUGUUUAUUUUUAAUUAGAUAUAUGAUUCUACUUCUCGUUAAUAAACUUUACAUUAUUAUAUUGGAAGAUACAAUGGAAGAUAUCGAAUUAAACUCUAAUACAAUCUUUUAUUCGUUUGUCGUUAACGUUAAGACUUUUGAUAAAAGAUUUCAAUACUUCGGUUAAUAGUUAAAAUGCCUUUCAACUGGCCGUAGAUAACAAAGCUCUUCACAAAUGUAUCAACGUAAGAUGUAAUACCACUGAUUAAGAAAUUCACUAAUUAUAGUCGACUAUUGUCAUUUUUCGAUGCAAGAUGUAAGUCGUAUUUGCAUUGAUACGCAGAUGAAUACGUAUAUGAUAAUGUUUUUUUAUAAACCCUGAGUUUAUUUCUGAUACAGAUUGAGAUAUAUACAGAUAUAUAUAUAUAUAUAUAUAUAUACAGAGAGAGAGAGAGAGAGAGAGAGAGAAAGAAAGGGUAAACGAAUCGAGAAUUUGAAUAAAACAAAGAACGAUAUCGAGAUUAAAUUGAAAAGAAACUUUGUUAGCUCUUGACAAAAAGGCAUUCGAUAAGGAAGCAUUAGGCGUCCAAAGUACAAUUAUAUCAAAAACCCAUUCAAAUUAAAGAAGAUUACAUAUGUCUCUGAUUAUGAUACCUUAUAUUUCUUAUUAUUCAUAUAAAAGAAAAGAAAAAGAAAAAAAAAACAGAUAAGAAGAAUAAGAAAGAAAUCUCAUCUUUAUUUCCCAAUAUCAUCAAUUAUGAUAGAUUUCUAAAUACAAUAAGGAUAAUAAUAACAAUAAUAACAACAACAAUAAUAUGCAGAAGAAGAAGAAGAAGAAGAAUAAAGUAUCUUGGUAUAUUCAAUUUUGCUUUCUUGUUCUUAUGUAGUAUAUGUAUCUAGUACAAUGUAAAUUUUAAUGUGGGAUUUCAUUUAAACGUGUCAUUUAAUGCGUAUUAUGAUUAAUAUGCAUUAUUCACACACAUAUCAAGGUAUGUGUAUUUAAAUGAAUAUAGAAUUUAUACCUCGUUGACAAAUUAAAUUUACAAUAUUGAAAUAAGGGUGUCACGAUCAGGUACACGCAUCACGUUCGAUCGUCGACGAUCUUUCUAUAUAUAAAAUAUAUCGAUACCAAACGAUAUUACAUUUGUUAAAAGGCAUAUACGUAUUACGUACAUACGCGUACACGUGCAUACAGAAAAAUUAAGAAAAAAAUAGCAAAACAGAGCGAGGAAGAGAGAGAGAGAGAGAGAGAGAGAUGAAAGUACAUUGUUUUCUAACAAACGGAGUUUUCGAUGAGGUCUCGUAUUUUUCUAUUCCUGUUGCUUUCUUUUAUUUUUUGAUUUUGAUUAAUUAACUAAUUAAAUUAUAAAAAUUUUAAUAUAUAUAUAUAUAUAUAUAUAUAUAUAUAAUAUUAUUACACUGAAAGAAAAAGAGAAUGUUUAUACCAUUUACUAGCUGACAUAUACAAAGCAAAAAUUAUUACAAUGUUUAUAUGUUUCUAUAUAAGGUGAAAUAUCUAAAUACACCUUAUGUUAUUUACUUUCUCUCGAAUAUCGUAUGAGAUCAGUCUUUCGGCAACCACCAAGGUGGAAUGUUGGAAGAUCCCAUAUAAACAUACGUUUGUAAAUAGAUACAUAUGUACAUAACUAGAUACAUAAUAUACACACCCACGCACACAUACACAAAGUAUAUAGUAGUCUUUCCUUGGGUAUUGCUUGAGGUUUAUUAUAUUGUGUAGACAGUAAGGAGCAACCUUUCUUCUGCAAUGAGCCAAAAUUAAAUAUCUGAUAUUGUUAUUGAUAGAAUUCAUUAUGAACUAAAAAUGUUUAAAUUGAUUAACAAAGAAAUUAAUACUUAAUAGAAAAAGAAAAAAUUACACAUUAUUGAAGGGUAUUUGUUAUUGUCGGCAUCAAUUUACAAUGAAAUGUUUUCUAUAAUUCCAUUGAUUUUUUAUUAGCAAUACUUUUAAUGUGUACGCAUAAAUGUAUGUAUAUACAUUUGUGUAAUGGAACGAAAUCUAUUAGUUGUUUAUUUUUAAUUAGAUAUAUGAUUCUACUUCUCGUUAAUAAACUUUACAUUAUUAUAUUGGAAGAUACAAUGGAAGAUAUCGAAUUAAACUCUAAUACAAUCUUUUAUUCGUUUGUCGUUAACGUUAAGACUUUUGAUAAAAGAUUUCAAUACCUCGGUUAAUAGUUAAAGUGCCUUUCAACUGGCCGUAGAUAACAAAGCUCUUCACAAAUGUAUCAACGUAAGAUGUAAUACCACUGAUUAAGAAAUUCACUAAUUAUAGUCGACUAUUGUCAUUUUUCGAUGCAAGAUGUAAGUCGUAAUUGCAUUGAGGCGUAUAUGAAUAUGUAUAUGAUAAUGUUUUUUUGUAAACCCUUAGUUACUCAUUUCUGUUAUGUAUUAUAUACUAUAUAUAUAUAUAUAGAGAGAGAGAGAGAGAGAAAGGGUAAACGAAUCGAUUAUUGAAAUAAAACAAAGAACGAUAUCGAGAUUAAAUUGAAAUGAAACUUUGUUAGCUCUUGACAAAGAGGCACUCGAUAAGGAAGCAUGAGCCGUCCAAAGUACAAUUAUAUCAAAAACCCAUUCAUAUUAAAGACGAUUACACAUAUAUCCGAUUAUGAUACCUUUCUAAGUCCUGAAAUAAUUCCAUUCAAAUUUAUAUUACACUACUGCCAUGUAUGGUAAGUAAUUGAUUGUAAAGACUUUUAAUAGACUCAGAAGUGGCGCAUUCCAAGGAUUUCUAUAUAAUAUAAUAUAUAAGUUCUGUGUACCGUAGACUCUUCAUUUUUAAGGAAACAAGUUUUUUCAAACCUCUGGGAAUACCUAAUAAGUAACGUAGCUAUUUCUGGUUUUUGAAAGUUAAUGCAUAGUUUAAAAUGGAAAUAUAUACGAUGGAAACAUACCGACAAUUUUUGCGGGUUUAAAUGCUCCAAUUAUUACAGAAAGAUUUGGUCCUAUAAAAGAUUAUUUUUUGGACAUUCAUCUGUCACAGCUUCACAAUUCUUUUCUUCAUACUGUACGUCACACGCUUCGCGUAUAGCCUCUUUUUUUAUCGAUCAAGAACUAUCUCCAACAAAAUACGAUAACAGAAAUUAAGAAGUUUCGUAAUUCUUUCAUAGAAGUAACUUUUACUUCUACAAUAAAAAGAAAUUAAUAAAAGUUAUAGCUAUGUGUGUCAUGCAACGUGAAAUAAAAACUGACCUUUUUCAAUGCAUACAAAAAUGUUUUGGUGAAAGAAAAUCUGAUCCAUUGGUUCUUGAUUGUCCAGGAUGAUGAUUCUUUCUUUUGCGAAGCUAUAAAAGCGGUUGAUAUACUUUUGGCUGCGGCAAGUCUUGCUGUUUUUCUUUGCAAAUCCAGAAAUAAUUCAAUUCCAAUUAUACAUUACGCCAUUAGCGUACAAGUAGUUGAUUGGAAAGAUUUUCCAUUGACUCAUAGAUGGCGUUGACUGAAGACUUUCCAAACUAUAUAUAGAUCGUUUGUAGACUUCACUCGUACAUGAUUGGUCCGAUCUGGACAAAAAAAAGAUCCGCCUAGAGGGCGCAACGAGAGCUCACCCAUGAGUCCGGUCCCGUUCUUCUAGGUGCUAUAGUUUCAGUAAACCGCUGUAACGUCCGUAAAAGUGCUCUAACCUCACUCGAACUUCCAUAACGUCCGUAAUAUCGCCGUAACUACCUAACGUCCGUAAAAGUGCCGUAACAUCACUCGACCAUCCAUAACGUCUGUCUUACGUCCGUAAGAGUGCCGUAACCUCACUCGCACAUCCGAAACGUCUGUCGAACAUCCGUAACGUCCGUAACAUCGCCGUAACGUCUGUCACAGCUCCGUGACAUCACAGAUGAUCGAAAUAACGCCGUAACGUCUGUCACACGUCCGUGACGACCGUAACAACGCCGUAAUGUCCGUCUGAAGUCCCUGACGUCCAUAAGAACACCUUAACGUCUGUCACAGGUCCGUGACGUCACAGAUGCUGGAAACAACGCCGUAACUUCUGUCACAGGACCGUGACGUCAUAGAUGAUCGAAACAACGCUGUAACGUCUCUUAGAGAUCUGUGACGUCACAGAUGAUAGAAAAACAACGCCGUAACUCUUGUCACAGGUCCGUGACGUCACAGAUGAUCGAAACAAGGCCGUAACUUCUGUAACAGGUCCGUGACGUCACAGAUGAUAGAAAAACAACGCCGUAACGUCUCUAAUAGAUCUGUGACGUCACAGAUGAUAGAAAAACAACGCCGUAACUCCUGUCACAGGUCCGUGACGUCACAGAUGAUCGAAACAAGGCCGUAACUUCUGUAACAGGUCCGUGACGUCACAGAUGAUAGAAAAACAACGCCGUAACGUCUCUAAUAGAUCUGUGACGUCACAGAUGAUAUAAACAACGCCGUAACUUCUGUCACAGGUCCGUGACGUCACAGAUGAUAGAAAAACAACGCCGUAACGUCUCUAAUGGAUCGGUGACGUCACAGAUGAUAGAAACAACGCCGUAAUUUCUGUCACAGGUCCGUGACGUCACAGAUGAUAGAAACAACGCCGUAAUUUCUGUCACAGGUCCGUGACGUCACAGAUGAUAGAAACAACGCCGUAAUUUCUGUCACAGGUCCGUGACGUCACAGAUGAUAUAAAAACAACGCCGUAACGUAUCUAAUAGAUCUGUGACGUCACAGAUGAUAGAAACAACACCGUAAUUUCUGUCACAGGUCCGUGACGUCACAGAUGAUCGAAACAAGGCCGUAACUUCUGUAACAGGUCCGUGACGUCACAGAUGAUAGAAAAACAACGCCGUAACGUCUCUAAUAGAUCUGUGACGUCACAGAUGAUAGAAAAACAACGCCGUAACUCCUGUCACAGGUCCGUGACGUCACAGAUGAUCGAAACAAGGCCGUAACUUCUGUAACAGGUCCGUGACGUCACAGAUGAUAGAAAAACAACGCCGUAACGUCUCUAAUAGAUCUGUGACGUCACAGAUGAUAGAAAAACAACGCCGUAACUCCUGUCACAGGUCCGUGACGUCACAGAUGAUCGAAACAAGGCCGUAACUUCUGUAACAGGUCCGUGACGUCACAGAUGAUAGAAAAACAACGCCGUAACGUCUCUAAUAGAUCUGUGACGUCACAGAUGAUAGAAACAACACCGUAAUUUCUGUCACAGGUCCGUGACGUCACAGAUGAUAGAAACAACGCCGUAAUUUCUGUCACAGGUCCGUGACGUCACAGAUGAUAUAAAAACAACGCCGUAACGUAUCUAAUAGAUCUGUGACGUCACAGAUGAUAGAAACAACACCGUAAUUUCUGUCACAGGUCCGUGACGUCACAGAUGAUAGAAACAACGCCGUAAUUUCUGUCACAGGUCCGUGACGUCACAGAUGGUCGAAACAACGCCGUAAUUUCUGUCACAGGUCCGUGACGUCACAGAUGAUAGAAACAACGCCGUAAUUUCUGUCACAGGUCCGUGACGUCACAGAUGAUAGAAAAACAACGCCGUAACGUCUCUAAUAGAUCGGUGACGUCACAGAUGAUAGAAACAACGCCGUAACUUCUGUCACAGGUCCGUGACGUCACAGAUGAUAGAAAAACAACGCCGUAACGUCUCUAAUAGAUCUGUGACGUCACAGAUGAUAUAAACAACGCCGUAACUUCUGUCACAGGUCCGUGACGUCACAGAUGAUAGAAAAACAACGCCGUAACGUCUCUAAUAGAUCGGUGACGUCACAGAUGAUAGAAACAACGCCGUAAUUUCUGUCACAGGUCCGUGACGUCACAGAUGGUCGAAACAACGCCGUAAUUUCUGUCACAGGUCCGUGACGUCACAGAUGAUAGAAAAACAACGCCGUAACGUCUCUAAUAGAUCUGUGACGUCACAGAUGAUAGAAACAACGCCGUAAUUUCUGUCACAGGUCCGUGACGUCACAGAUGAUAGAAACAACGCCGUAAUUUCUGUCACAGGUCCGUGACGUCACAGAUGAUAGAAAAACAACGCCGUAACGUCUCUAAUAGAUCGGUGACGUCACAGAUGAUAGAAACAACGCCGUAAUUUCUGUCACAGGUCCGUGACGUCACAGAUGAUAGAAAAACAACGCCGUAACGUCUCUAAUAGAUCUGUGACGUCACAGAUGAUAGAAACAACGCCGUAAUUUCUGUCACAGGUCCGUGACGUCACAGAUGAUAGAAACAACGCCGUAACGUCUCUAAUAGAUCGGUGACGUCACAGAUGAUAGAAACAACGCCGUAAUUUCUGUCACAGGUCCGUGACGUCACAGAUGAUAGAAAAACAACGCCGUAACGUCUCUAAUAGAUCUGUGACGUCACAGAUGAUAGAAACAACGCCGUAAUUUCUGUCACAGGUCCGUGACGUCACAGAUGAUAGAAACAACGCCGUAAUUUCUGUCACAGGUCCGUGACGUCACAAAUGAUAGAAACAACGCCGUAAUUUCUGUCACAGGUCCGUGACGUCACAGAUGAUAGAAACAACGCCGUAAUUUCUGUCACAGGUCCGUGACGUCACAGAUGAUAGAAAAACAACGCCGUAACAUCUCUAAUAGAUCUGUGACGUCACAGAUGAUGGAAACAACG